CGCGAUAAGUAGACCGCCUGGGGAGUACGGUCGCAAGACUAAAACUCAAAUGAAUUGACGGGGGCCCGCACAAGCGGUGGAGCAUGUGGUUUAAUUCGAUGCAACGCGAAGAACCUUACCUGGCCUUGACAUACUAAGAACUUUCCAGAGAUGGAUUGGUGCCUUCGGGAACUUAGAUACAGGUGCUGCAUGGCUGUCGUCAGCUCGUGUCGUGAGAUGUUGGGUUAAGUCCCGCAACGAGCGCAACCCUUUUCCUUAUUUGCCAGCGGGUAAUGCCGGGAACCUUAAGGAUACUGCCAGUGACAAACUGGAGGAAGGCGGGGACGACGUCAAGUCAUCAUGGCCCUUACGGCCAGGGCUACACACGUGCUACAAUGGUCGGUACAAAGGGUUGCUACCUCGCGAGAGGAUGCUAAUCUCAAAAAGCCGAUCGUAGUCCGGAUCGCAGUCUGCAACUCGACUGCGUGAAGUCGGAAUCGCUAGUAAUCGCGGAUCAGAAUGCCGCGGUGAAUACGUUCCCGGGCCUUGUACACACCGCCCGUCACACCAUGGGAGUUUGUUGCACCAGAAGUAGGUAGUCUAACCGCAAGGAGGACGC
rnacentral:rRNA from 1 species